rnacentral:rRNA from 1 species
GUAGGACUACCCGCUGAACUUAAGCAUAUCAAUAAGCGGAGGAAAAGAAACUAACAAGGAUUCCCCUAGUAACUGCGAGUGAAGCGGGAAAAGCUCAAAUUUAAAAUCCUUCGGGAGUUGUAAUCUAGAGAAGCGUUUUCGGUCGUUGCCUCGGACAAGUCCCUUGGAACAGGGCGUCAUAGAGGGUGAGAAUCCCGUCCUUGCCGAGCUACCAACGUCUAUGUGAUGCGCUCUCGAAGAGUCGAGUUGUUUGGGAAUGCAGCUCAAAACGGGUGGUAAACUCCAUCUAAAGCUAAAUAUUGGCGAGAGACCGAUAGCGAACAAGUACCGUGAGGGAAAGAUGAAAAGCACUUUGGAAAGAGAGUUAAACAGUACGUGAAAUUGCUGAAAGGGAAGCGCUUGAAGUCAGUCGCGUGUAUGAGACUCAGCCUCACGGUGCAUUUCUCUUACACGGGUCAACAUCAGUUUCGACCGCGGGAAAAGGGCUCGAGGAAUGUGGCAGCCUCGGCUGUGUUAUAGCCUCCUGUCGUACACCGCGGUCGGGACUGAGGACCGCUUAUAGGAUGUUGACGUAAUGGCUUUAAGCGACCCGUCUUGAAACACGGACC